CACUACUAUAUAAUGCACCACUUUAAACUUUCCUAAAGCUACACAGAAAACUACCCCGCACAGUCAUUGCCUAAUCUAAGUACACCCAACUAAUUGCACACAACAAUAUCUAAUUUUCAAAAUUAAGGGACAAGAUUAGACAAUGAAUCAUCUUUCUCAUGUUCACUCACAUCCAACGGCCCGAAACACUUGGAUCAAACUCAUCACUCACCCCCUCCACCCUCGGUCGCGCCGGUAGCCGAGAAGUCGCGCCUCGACUCCCUCCCAUGCCCAUCGCUCGGCGCCUCGACUCCCUCCAGACGCUCCCAGAUCUCACGCGCGACCGUGUCUCUUCUCGAGGUCGUAUAAUUAUUUUGCGUGGGCGCCGCUAGAACUCUUCGCCUGGCGAGGAGGGUUCGCGGCCAGGGCUCACGGGGCGCGCGGCCGCCUCCACGCCUAGCCAGGAGGGUUCGCGGCCAGGGAGGGCGCGCGUCCAGGGCUCGUGGCGAGGAGGGCGUGCGGCCGGGGCUCGCGGCCGCCUCCGCGCCUCCACGCCGGCCAGGAGGGCGCGCGGCCACCUCCACGACGGCCAGGAGGGCUCGCGACCGGGGGUUCUCGGGGCGCGUUGCCGCCUCCACGCCGGCCAGGAGGGCUCGUGGCUAGGAGGGCACGCGACCGCCUCCACGACGGCCAGGAGGGCUCACGGCCGGGGCUCCCGGGGCGCACAGGCGCCUCCACGCCUCCACGCCGGCCAGGAGGGCUCACGGCCGCCUCCAUGACGGCCAGGAGGGCUCGCAACCAAGGAGGGCACGCGGCCGGGGCUCGCGGCCAGGAGGGCUCGUGGACGGGGCUCGCGGCCAGGAGGGCGCGCGGCCGGGGCUUGCUGCCGACCGCCCCUAGCCACCGUUCGCUGCCGCUAUGGGGUCAUGCCGUGUCUGCUAGCGUCGUCAUGUUCUUCCUGUGGUCCAAAACGAUGGGAGUCGUGUCCUUCCCGUGGUCCAGCGCGAUGGGAGCUAUGGCGCACUUCUGGCCUCCUCCAUUCUGCCUAUUUCUUUUCCAACCUUGUUUUCUCUGCGAUUCUGAAAUAUGGUUGCCAAAGGGGAGUUGGUUGUUCCCAGCAAAGCAUAUGUGCCAGCCGUUAAAAUUCCAAGAGGUGUUGUAGUGAGGUUUUUUGCUUUUGCCUGAUCUGUCUUUCUUCCCGUCCUUAGGGUGUGCGAUAUGGUCUCUGCUGGCGUGUUGCCCUGUUCUACCAGCAGAUUUCUUAUGUUUGCUGUUGUUUAUAGGUCUGGAUCGUGAAAGGAUAAACUUCUUGUGAGCAUUUCACGCUUCAGAAUCUUCCACGUGUGCAAAUAAAGAAGUCCCCAUACACAUGGACUGUAAAGCACUCUGUUUGGAACUAACAAUUACCAUAAAUAAUCACCCUGACAAAUCAGCAUGAAUAGACUCAUCACCAAUUCAGUUUUGUGUGUGGUCCACGAAGUCUCUAAAUUUCCAGUUUAGAGUGAGCUGUGAAGUCUCUAAAUUUUCAGGUUAGCAAGAACUGUGAAUGUCUUUGAAUUUUCAGUUCUGCAGGAACUGUGAAUGUUUCUGAAUUUUUCAGUUACUGUGAGUGUUUCUGAUUUUUCAGUCCAGCAGGAAGGAAACCUCCAAUUAACCAAGUGCCGGACUAAAUGCCACAGUCAAGGUUUAGCUGCUGUAAGUUAGCUUGUUGUGACCAUCCUAGCUUGCUGUUGUGUUUUUUUGCAGUCGCCUCAUGGUUGGAGAUCAAGUUUUGCCUACCCGACUUCAUUAGAUCUUAGGGGUUCAGAGCAACUUCAUGGAUGCGUACAGAUUGUGGGCAUUCAUGAGCUCGUGGACAAGUUCUUGGAACUGAUUUGUGGAGGAGAGGUCAAAGAACCAUGCGCUGAAGUAAAAAUAGAAGACAUUCAUGGUGGAGCACUGGCAGCAAGUCACACCUGCCGCCAUAUUGAGGGUCUAAAAGGGUCACGGCUUCAAAAUACAGGUCUAUCUUGAGAUUGCUUUUCUUCCUGAAUCAAGUGAAGGUUGUUCUGCUGCUGAGCAACUUGAGGUAGCUUUUCUUCCUGAAUCAAUUAGAGGCUGUUCUACUGCUGAGCAAAUUAAGGUAGUCUUCAGUGUAAGGUUGUCAUCAUCAAGUUUCAUCAGCGGCACUCUUCAAUGUCAGAUUCGGAAUCAGAGGAAGAGUGUAGCUGUUCAUUAACAUAAGUCAGUGUAUAUAUUUAAAUUUUGUCUUAGCCGUUAGUGAGUCAACAAAUAUGACUUUAUUGAUUUUGUUAAUGCUAUGUAGAUAUUUGAUAUCUAAGUAAAGCUAAGACAAUAUGUUAAAGUAAUCCUAAUUCUCUUUCAACGUUCAAACUGUUCAAUGUGGUCAAAUAGCCGGUUACUUGCUAUGCUGAUUUUGUUGCGUUUGAUGUUGUCGCUGACUUGGUCUCCACGCAGGUGAGGCUGGGUGAAUUUUUUGGCUGUUCUGGGUGGGAAUUAUAUGCACACGGUUUGGAUUAUCUGAAUUUUUGGAGUUAUUUCAGUGAGCAACGUGUAUAUAUAUGGUACUUGUAUAGUGUUAUUUCAUAAGAGCGGAGGCAAUUUAUGCAUCUGUGGAUUCGUAUGUAACCUAAAUUUUUUGUGCAAUUUGGCAAAUUCCAAGGUCGAGGUCUUUAUUUUGGUCCCCAGGCAUCUCUUCGAGAAGGAGGUCGGCAUUGCAUCCUCACAGCACGAGCCACGACGGCAGAGAGCAAGAUGCAUGGCACGGCGGCCAUCUUGGUGUCUGAUCCAUGGAAAGUGUCAAGCCUUGUAUAUAGUUAUUUAAAAGAGUGGGACGGGGAAAAAUUGUUUGUCCACCCUAGUGGACAUUCGUUGAGGACGGAAUGCUUGGUGGACAUUCUACAGAGUAAUCAAAAUGAACGUGCAAACAUUAUCCCUAAAGAGCUUCGAGAUCUACUUAAGCAAUUAGGAACUUAUUUGUAGUAUAAAUAUAUGAGACAUGGUUUAUUGUUCCUUUUCUUAAUUAUUCAUAAGUGUAUUUUAGAUUAUAUUAAUUAUCAUAUACAAUUGUCCGAGACUAUAAAUUAUGAAAAAUAUAUCGUUGU